UACGUAGGGUGCAAGCGUUAAUCGGAAUUACUGGGCGUAAAGCGUGCGCAGGCGGUUCGGAAAGAAGGAUGUGAAAUCCCAGGGCUUAACCUUGGAACUGCAUUCUUAACUACCGGGCUAGAGUGUGUCAGAGGGAGGUGGAAUUCCGCGUGUAGCAGUGAAAUGCGUAGAUAUGCGGAGGAACACCGAUGGCGAAGGCAGCCUCCUGGGACAACACUGACGCUCAUGCACGAAAGCGUGGGGAGCAAACAGGAUUAGAUACCCUGGUAGUCCACGCCCUAAACGAUGUCAACUAGCUGUUGGGGCCUUCGGGCUUUAGUAGCGCAGCUAACGCGUGAAGUUGACCGCCUGGGGAGUACGGUCGCAAGAUUAAA
rnacentral:rRNA from 1 species